UACGUAGGGGGCAAGCGUUGUCCGGAAUCAUUGGGCGUAAAGAGCGCGUAGGCGGCCAGUUGCGUCCGCUGUGAAAAUCCCGGGGCUUAACCCCGGGCGUGCAGUGGAUACGGGCUGGCUAGAGGCAGGCAGGGGAGAACGGAAUUCCCGGUGUAGCGGUGAAAUGCGCAGAUAUCAGGAGGAACACCAAUGGCGAAGGCAGAUCUCUGGGCCGUAACUGACGCUGAGGAGCGAAAGCAUGGGGAGCGAACAGG
rnacentral:rRNA from 1 species